UUUUACCCAGCACAUAGCAGCCUUUCUAAUAAUUUUCCUUUUGUUUUUCCCAUUUCCAACUACUUCAGGUGUGAAAGGGAGCAGUGAGAAAGAAAGGCAAGCCCAGUUCCACAACACCGGAGGGUUUAUUUAGACUCCACCUGAUCAUUCAAAAGAGAAAUUUAAGGUAGGCGGGAAGCUCAGUCCUACAGAGGAUUCUGGGAUUUGUAGUCCAGACGCUUUCUGGGAUUGGAGCACUUCCGCUCCGGGAAAGCGCAAAACUAUUUGCUCCGCUGGAGAAAUGGGAGAGCGUAAUACAGUGCUCUGUGUGUUCGGAAGCAUUCGGCUACCAGAGGGCAAGAAUGCGAAGCCCUCUCCUUUCGUGGACUCCGGAUUGGAUUCCGGCCGUAGGUGUGGGAACCGGCUUGUCCGCCUCACGCGGGGGCGGAACAGCGGCCCGGGUGCCUCUCGGGAAUGCUGGGGAAUGUAGUCCAGGAGCUCCGCAGAGUCGGAGGUAUUUCCGCUGCGGGAGGUUAACAUCGCGGCCUUCGUUUCUCUCUGGGAGGGCCACAGACCAGACUGCAGCAUCUCAGGCUCCUUUCUUUUCCGCCUCCUGA
rnacentral:lncRNA from 1 species